AUACGUAUGUCGCAAGCGUUAUCCGGAUUUAUUGGGCGUAAAGCGCGUCUAGGCGGCUUAGUAAGUCUGAUGUGAAAAUGCGGGGCUCAACCCCGUAUUGCGUUGGAAACUGCUAAACUAGAGUACUGGAGAGGUAGGCGGAACUACAAGUGUAGAGGUGAAAUUCGUAGAUAUUUGUAGGAAUGCCGAUGGGGAAGCCAGCCUACUGGACAGAUACUGACGCUAAAGCGCGAAAGCGUGGGUAGCAAACAGGAUUAGAUACCCUGGUAGUCCACGCCGUAAACGAUGAUUACUAGGUGUUGGGGGUCGAACCUCAGCGCCCAAGCUAACGCGAUAAGUAAUCCGCCUGGGGAGUACGUCGGCAACGAUGAAACUCAAAUGAAUUGACGGG
rnacentral:rRNA from 1 species